rnacentral:rRNA from 1 species
GACGAACGCUGGCUGCGUGCUUAACACAAGCAAGUCGAACGCUGAAGCCCCAGCUUGCUGGGGUGGAUGAGUGGCGAACGGGUGAGUAACACGUGAGUAACCUGCCCCUGACUUCGGGAUAAGCCCGGGAAACUGGGUCUAAUACCGGAUACGACUAUCGGACGCAUGUCUGGUGGUGGAAAGUUUUUUCGGUUGGGGAUGGGCUCGCGGCCUAUCAGUUUGUUGGUGAGGUAAUGGCUCACCAAGACGACGACGGGUAGCCGGCCUGAGAGGGCGACCGGCCACACUGGGACUGAGACACGGCCCAGACUCCUACGGGAGGCAGCAGUGGGGAAUAUUGCACAAUGGGGGAAACCCUGAUGCAGCGACGCAGCGUGCGGGAUGACGGCCUUCGGGUUGUAAACCGCUUUCAGCAGGGAAGAAGCCUUCGGGUGACGGUACCUGCAGAAGAAGUACCGGCUAACUACGUG